rnacentral:rRNA from 1 species
UAACCGGAUUAGAUACCCUGGUAGUCCACGCCGUAAACGAUGUCGACUUGGAGGUUGUGCCCUUGAGGCGUGGCUUCCGGAGCUAACGCGUUAAGUCGACCGCCUGGGGGGUACGGCCGCAAGGUUAAAACUCAAAUGAAUUGACGGGGGCCCGCACAAGCGGUGGAGCAUGUGGUUUAAUUCGAUGCAACGCGAAGAACCUUACCUGGUCUUGACAUCCACAGAACUUUCCAGAGAUGGAUUGGUGCCUUCGGGAACUGUGAGACAGGUGCUGCAUGGCUGUCGUCAGCUCGUGUUGUGAAAUGUUGGGUUAAGUCCCGCAACGAGCGCAACCCUUAUCCUUUGUUGCCAGCGGUCCGGCCGGGAACUCAAAGGAGACUGCCAGUGAUAAACUGGAGGAAGGUGGGGAUGACGUA